rnacentral:lncRNA from 1 species
UUUUUUUUUUUUUUUAAUUCUUCAGCUAAAACAGUGGAAAAGGUGAUUUAUUAUAUGGUUGUUACACUCGGCCACAAAUAAACACAGAAAUAGUCCAGAAUGUCACAGGUCCAGGGCAGAGGACCAACAUGGGCAUUUUGUUUAUGAGCAAGGUGGGUCUCAGAGGUGAUCGGCGAUCAGAGGGCGAUGAAGUUCUAGAUCCCAGCAUCCCCAGCGUCUGGCAUUCCAUGUUUCUGCUCCUGUGGCCUCCACGGUGCAACAAGCUAGCGGUUUACUU